CUGCUCCUAGUACGAGAGGACCGGAGUGGACGAACCUCUGGUGUUCGGGUUGUGUCGCCAGACGCAUUGCCCGGUAGCUAAGUUCGGGAUCGAUAACCGCUGAAAGCAUCUAAGCGGGAAGCGAGCCCUGAGAUGAGUCUUCCCUGAUACUUUAAGUAUCCUAAAGGGUUGUUCGAGACUAGAACGUUGAUAGGCAGGGUGUGUAAGCGUUGUGAGGCGUUGAGCU
rnacentral:rRNA from 1 species